CUUCACUUUGUCUUCGCCAUCACCUCGAAAGGCAGACGCCACUCAUCUUAAUGGACAGAUUAGAAAACUCUAUUAAAAAGACAACGGACACCCAAGCCCAGAGCAAGGAGGUCUCAUCCGUUGUUGCUGAGAACUACCUGCCUGGUAAUCUCCCUGUCAAUCAGAUACCAGCCUUAUCUGCUGCUUGAAGGGCCCUCAUGUCAUCCAGGAGGAGGCAUUUCUUGCCCCACCUACUGCAGGACGCGAAGGCACCUGACCCUCCUCCACAGAAGGCCGGACGCAUCCUUCCAGGCUCCGGGAUGCCCCCCACCUCCGGGCCCAAGAAAAAGUGCCUACAUGUUUUCAACCUUUUCCUUAAACGUGAAACCACUGGACAAAAGGCAGUCAGAAAUUAAUUAUGAACCUUAGAAUAGAUUUUCCCCUAAAAAUAACGUGAGUUCUAAAGCUCUUCUUAAAAUGCCCCUAAAAGUAACGAAUUCCUGAUAUAUGGAAAAUAGGUGAAACCAUAACACUCAGCCUACAUCUUCACUUCAUAAUAAAAGGUCUCUACC